GUGAUCAUUGUUGCUGUUUAAUCCCGUGUUGGCUUUGAAUAAAGCAGGCAUUUUGAUGAAUGCCAUUAAUAUUAUGAACAUUCUGCAGUCAGAGCAUCAGCCUCAUUAUCAAAAGGAGACGGUCUGUUUUGUUAUGGUUGCUGUUGUCGCUGUUGCUGCUGCUGCUGCUGCUGUUGCUGUCGUCAUCAUCUUGGUGUUGCCUUUGAAUCUGACUCCACCGAAUAUACCAAUAACCAUGGAUAUUCCAGCCUCGACCAUCCCAUCGUAUUGCAUGUAUAUCAGAAACUGUAUUAUCCGAUGUAUAUUUUUCAAGUCGGUAGAAUGUAACUUGACUGAAAUUUGGCUGCUUGUUUUAGCAAAUCGAGCAACAACGUAGAGGCUCCCUCGCUGGUGAACAAUAAAAUAGAAAUAGCGGAUUUGGUGCAACUGGUGAAUUCCAAAUUGUCGCUUAGAGCUGUUGGAAGCCUGUACUAGUCAACUUUGGAAUUUGCUCCAAACAAAAGUAAAAUACACCUGCCUAAUAUACAUCGUAUGAUUCACAAGAGUAACUCUUCUGUGUGUGCACCACAUCAUAUCUGGCGAUAUUCACAUCUAUGCUUUUCCCUGACAUCACACAAAAUGCUACCAUGAAGACGAAAAAGAAAAAAAAAAACAACCUCAAAGCAGGUCCUAUUUAAAUAGGACGAACAAUGUACCUAACUCUUGAAAGGCAGACAUGUAGCGUUCACGUUUGAUCAUUUAUUGGAAAGCCUUCAUCUAUCCUGUCCCAAAGUUUCCAUUUACAUUAUUACAGCCGGAGAACCAAUGAAAUCCAACCAGGGAUGACGUCACAUUAAAGCCAAACUGACUACGAAGGAAGUUACUAUCAAGAGUGCAGACUUCGUCAUCACAACCGGUGGAGAAGAGGAGGGGCACAAUAAACUUCUGUGGACAUCACAUACUGAUAAUGAGUAUACCAAUGAUCAUACUUUUUUUUUAUAACCACAGCCGGUAGAAUUGUUGUGGAGGGAUGUUGAUGUUGACUAAAAGCUUCUGGGCAUAUUCUGCAUGCAAAUGUAACCGAGUAUUCCACUUAUUCGUGGCUACAAUGGGGUCCCGUUAUUCAUUUGGUGCUCCGAAAGUUGUUAUCGAAGAAGACUGAAAGAGAGAGAGAAAGAGUGGGGAGAAAAGAAGCUGAAAAUGCAAAUUAAGAAUAAGAAAAUUUAUUUACAAUCACUUAACCGGUUUCAUGAUUUUCAAAAGGGGUGAAAUUUUGAGAAUCCUGGACUAUAUUGUAUUUGAACUAAAUUUUUAUUGGGCAUUUGUCACAGAUUGUAUGUACGGUAUAAUUGUAACACAUAUUCAUUAUCCAAAUGGAUGCUAUUUCUUAUAUCUGAUUCAAUGGAAUUAAACUUAAAUAACUAUAAACAAUCACCACGAUACUUAAAGAAAUGUAGGUGUUUGAGUCCGGCAUAGGUUUUGUACAGCCGACUAAAGUUAUCUCAAUAUAUUACUGAUACUAGUAUCGAGUCAAUUUGCUACAUAAUCGUUCAGCUUGCGAGAAAUAGCCAUAAAAUCACACUCUUGCAUUUUAAUCAAGGUAUCGAAGGAUAUUGGAAAAUAUUGUUCUAGAUAAACAAUACAUAAAGAAAAGACAAGGUAAUUACAGCGGGAGCGAAUUUGAUCAUAGAGCUGCUGAAACAGAGCAGACUUGGAACUUGGCAAAAGCAAGACGAAUUGUUAGAAGUAUCUAUUUUAUCGACACCUGGACGGAAUGAAAAAUCAUAAUUGUUUCUAACCUGAUUAAAACUUACACAGAAACGAGGUCUAUCAAGAAUUAUGGAUGAGAUUCUACGCAAAUUUGCACCAAAUUUUCAUGCAUAAUGCAUUUGUGAAGAAUACAGAUAAUGAAUGGUUCUUUGGAACAAAGGCAAAAACAAAAAUACUGAAAGAGAGAAGACGAAAGAGUUAGAGAGCGUGAAAAAGUGAUGAUUUUGAUCAAAGAUUCGACUGGUUUCAUAUUAUCACGAUUAAAAGUGAAUUUUCAGUGUCACA